CAUUUGAGCUUCAAUCAAACAU
rnacentral:miRNA from 10 species